rnacentral:rRNA from 1 species
UACGAAGGGGGCUAGCGUUGUUCGGAUUUACUGGGCGUAAAGCGCACGUAGGCGGAUUGUUAAGUGAGGGGUGAAAUCCCAGGGCUCAACCCUGGAACUGCCUUUCAUACUGGCAAUCUCGAGUCCGGAAGAGGUGAGUGGAACUCCUAGUGUAGAGGUGGAAUUCGUAGAUAUUAGGAAGAACACCAGUGGCGAAGGCGGCUCACUGGUCCGGUACUGACGCUGGGGUGCGAAAGCGUGGGGAGCAAACAGG